rnacentral:misc_RNA from 1 species
GAUGAAGAACGUAGCGAAAUGCGAUAAGUAGUGUGAAUUGCAGAAUUCAGUGAAUCAUCGAAUCUUUUAACGCACAUUGCGCCCCUUGGUAUUCCAUGGGGCAUGCCUGUUCGAGCGUCAUUUGUACCUUCAAGCUCUGCUUGGUGUUGGGUGUUUGUCUCGCCUCUGCGUGUAGACUCGCCUCAAAACAAUUGGCAGCCGGCGUAUUGAUUUCGGAGCGCAGUACAUCUCGCGCUUUGCACCCAUAACGACGACGUCCAAAAGUACAUUUUUACACUCUUGACCUCGGAUCAGGUAGGGAUACCCGCUGAACUUAAGCAUAUCAAUAAGCGGAGGA